rnacentral:rRNA from 1 species
UUGGAGGGCAAGUCUGGUGCCAGCAGCCGCGGUAAUUCCAGCUCCAAUAGCGUAUAUUAAAGUUGUUGCAGUUAAAAAGCUCGUAGUUGAAUUUCGAGAUCAGAGUGUCGGUCGUGCCUCGGUACGCACUGGUAUUAUUGGUUCCUACCUUCUGAAGAGCCGCGAUGUCAUUAAUUUGGUGUCGUGGGGAAUCAGGACUGUUACUUUGAAAAAAUUAGAGUGUUUAAAGCAGGCUUACGCUUGAAUACAUUAGCAUGGAAUAAUGAAAUAGGACGUUUGAUUCUAUUUUGUUGGUUUCUAGGAUUGACGUAAUGAUUAAUAGGGAUAGUUGGGGGCAUUAGUAUUCAAUUGUCAGAGGUGAAAUUCUUGGAUUUAUUGAAGACUAACUACUGCGAAAGCAUUUGCCAAGGAUGUUUUCAUUAAUCAAGAACGAAAGUUAGGGGAUCGAAGACGAUCAGAUACCGUCGUAGUCUUAACCAUAAACUAUGCCGACUAGGGAUCGGAUGAUGUUAAUUUUUUAACGACUCAUUCGGCGCCUUACGGGAAACCAAAGUGUUUGGGUUC